UAUUCAACAAAUUAACUACUAAUAAUUAUGCCAAUACAACAAUAAAAAUUAUUCAAUAAAUUCAAAAAAAAACUAUAGACAUUAGCAAUGAAUUAUGCAAAAAAAACUAUAGACUUUAUCUACAUUACAAAAAAUACACCAAAACAAAAAAAAUAACCAAAAAAAAGCAAAAAAAUAACAUUAAAGUAAAAUAAAAUAGAGGAAACACUAACCUUUUAAACUGAUGAAGAUGAUGAA
rnacentral:lncRNA from 1 species